GAUGAACGCUAGCGGCAGGCCUAAUACAUGCAAGUCGAACGGAAUAUAGUUUUCGGAUUAUAUUUAGUGGCGCACGGGUGAGUAACACGUACAUAACUUACCCUCAAGAGGGGGAUAGCCUUGGGAAACUGAGCGUAAUACCCCAUAGUAUUAUUGAACGGCAUCGUUUGAUAAUUAAAGCUACGGCGCUUGAGGAUAGAUGUGCGUCUGAUUAGCUAGUUGGUAAGGUAACGGCUUACCAAGGCGACGAUCAGUAGGGGGCGUGAGAGCGUGGCCCCCCCACACGGGUACUGAGACACGGACCCGACUCCUACGGGAGGCAGCAGUAAGGAAUAUUGGUCAAUGCCCGGAAGGGUGAACCAGCCAUGCCGCGUGAAGGAUGACUGCCCUCUGGGUUGUAAACUUCUUUUGGAUGGGACGAAAAAACGGGAUUUAUCCUGGACUGACGGUACCAUCAGAAUAAGCACCGGCUAACUCCGUGCCAGCAGCCGCGGU
rnacentral:rRNA from 1 species